CAAUCUGUGCUCCGAUCUAGCUGAGGUUGCUCGGAAGGCUUCUCCAUUAGCUUGGCUGCAUAAAGUUUUGAAGCCCUUGGAGUCUCCUGCAGAUGUGUCUGCAGGGAGGACUUUUCCUGCUCCUUUGCUGAUUCCUACAAAGAAGACUGGUUCCCAUGGCAGGGGUCCUCUGAGAGGGAAGAGCAAAGGCAAACGACAGAAGAAACCCCACGAGCCAAACAACAUCCUGAAACACAUCGUGACAGAACUGCAGAAAGGGCAUGGGAUGGACAGAGAGGCUCUGUGGAAGGUGGCAUUUCCUGAAGGAAGGGAAGAGAUGCCAGGCACAGUCCCAGAAGAUUGGGAUCACGGCUUAGAUUACUUGGAAACACUGGUGAAUGGUGGUUUGAAGACCUUGCCAGAUGUUGGAG